rnacentral:rRNA from 1 species
AUGUUGUUUGUGUUUGAAUUAAUUAGCACCCCAUACCAUCGUGUUUCUUCAGCCUACAAGGUGAUUAGCACUCAGCAAACUAUUGGAAAGAUGUUGGUACCUUGUUUUUUUUCAAACUCGACAUGCACAUGCAAGAAUAGGUAUGGCUACAUGCUUUCUAUAUCUAUCAGGUUCAUAAAGCAUUUUGGAGAGGUGCAUCUUGUUGGAGAGGUCUGGUAUGCAUAUUUAAUAUUGAAGAAAACAAAAGUUUUUGAUAUAAUAAAGAUUGAUGAAAAUUUGGACUUGACUCUACCAGGGACAAUUUUCAUGCUAAAUUAUACGAAGUUUGUAUCUUGGGGACAUCUUCAUGCCGACUUACGUUUAAUAUUGGGAUAUGUCCCCUCAUGUGCCAGUUUUGAGAUUUUGUUAGAAGUACAUGAUCUAUUCUUAGUUCCUGCAUGUUUUUUCACCUUUCUGUAG